rnacentral:rRNA from 1 species
UGGGGAAUAUUGGACAAUGGGCGCAAGCCUGAUCCAGCAAUGCCGCGUGUGUGAAGAAGGUCUUCGGAUCGUAAAGCACUUUCGACGGGGACGAUGAUGACGGUACCCGUAGAAGAAGCCCCGGCUAACUUCGUGCCAGCAGCCGCGGUAAUACGAAGGGGGCUAGCGUUACUCGGAAUUACUGGGCGUAAAGGGCGCGUAGGCGGCGCUCCAAGUUAGGCGUGAAAGUCCUGGGCUCAACCUGGGAACUGCGC